rnacentral:rRNA from 1 species
AGUGAGGAAUAUUGGUCAAUGGGCGCAAGCCUGAACCAGCCAUCCCGCGUGAAGGAAGACGGCCCUAUGGGUUGUAAACUUCUUUUCUGCACCAAGAAUGGGCCUUACGUGUAAGGUUUUGACGGUAGUGCAGGAAUAAGCAUCGGCUAACUCCGUGCCAGCAGCCGCGGUAAUACGGAGGAUGCAAGCGUUAUCCGGAUUCAUUGGGUUUAAAGGGUACGUAGGUGGCCCAGUAAGUCAGUGGUGAAAUCCUGCCGCUUAACGGUAGAACUGCCAUUGAUACUGCUGGGCUUGAGUACAGUUGAGGUAGGCGGAAUGUGUAGUGUAGCGGUGAAAUGCUUAGAUAUUACACAGAACCCCGAUUGCGAAGGCAGCUUACUAAACUGUAACUGACACUGAGGUACGAAAGCGUGGGGAGCGAACAGGAUUAGAUACCCUGGUAGUCCACGCCGUAAACGAUGCUCACUCGCUGUAUGCGAUACACAGUAUGCGGCCAAGCGAAAGUAUUAAGUGAGCCACCUGGGGAGUACGUUGGCAACAGUGAAACUCAAAGGAAUUGACGGGGGCCCGCACAAGCGGAGGAACAUGUGGUUUAAUUCGAUGAUACGCGAGGAACCUUACCUGGGCUUAAAUGCAGGACGACAGGCGUCGAAAGAUGCUUUUCUUCGGACGGCUUGCAAGGUGCUGCAUGGUUGUCGUCAGCUCGUGCCGUGAGGUGUCGGGUUAAGUCCCAUAACGAGCGCAACCCUUACCGUUAGUUACCAUCAGGUCAUGCUGGGGACUCUAGCGGGACUGCCACCGUAAGGUGAGAGGAAGGUGGGGAUGACGUCAAAUCAGCACGGCCCUUAUGUCCAGGGCUACACACGUGUUACAAUGGCCAGUACAAAGGGCAGCCACCAGGCGACUGGAUGCUAAUCUCUAAAGCUGGUCUCAGUUCGGAUCGAAGUCUGCAACCCGACUUCGUGAAGCUGGAUUCGCUAGUAAUCGCGCAUCAGCCAUGGCGCGGUGAAUACGUUCCCGGGCCUUGUACACACCGCCCGUCAAACCAUGGAAGCUGGGGGUACCUGAAGUCUGUGACCGCAAGGAGCGGCCUAGGGUAAAACUAGUGACUGGGGUU